rnacentral:rRNA from 1 species
UUGGAGGGCAAGUCUGGUGCCAGCAGCCGCGGUAAUUCCAGCUCCAAUAGCGUAUAUUAAAGUUGUUGCAGUUAAAAAGCUCGUAGUUGAAUUUCGGGAUUAAUUUAUUGGUCGUGCUAUUGUACGUACUGGUAUUAUUGAUUCCUACCUUCUGACGAACCAUGAUGUCAUUAAUUUGGUGUCAUGGGGAAUCAGGACUGUUACUUUGAAAAAAUUAGAGUGUUUAAAGCAGGCUCACGCUUGAAUACAUUAGCAUGGAAUAACGAAAUAGGACGUUUGAUUCUAUUUUGUUGGUUUCUAGGAUCGACGUAAUGAUUAAUAGGGAUAGUUGGGGGCAUUAGUAUUCAAUUGUCAGAGGUGAAAUUCUUGGAUUUAUUGAAGACUAACUACUGCGAAAGCAUUUGCCAAGGAUGUUUUCAUUAAUCAAGAACGAAAGUUUGGGGAUCGAAGACGAUCAGAUACCGUCGUAGUCUUAACCAUAAACUAUGCCGACUAGGGAUCGGAUGAUGUUAAUUUUUUAAUGACUCAUUCGGCGCCUUACGGGAAAC